AUAUUCAUAACUCAAGUCAGCUGGAAAGUUGUACAUUUUUCUUUCUGGGAAGUCAUGGCGACAAAGACUGAAGACCCAGGCAGCACAAAUGUGAAUGAUGGAUCUCUUGGAAGAACAACAAAGACUGAAGUGAGUAUAUUUUAUGCUUGGAAAUGAGCAAAUCAUUCCUUUUGACAAGCCAUUGAUGUUGGGGUUCCAUGGAAAAGAGAAGGAGGUGAACAAAAGGAAGAAAUGCAGAGAAAAAUAUGGAAUAGAAAUAUGAGGGAAGAUAUUAGCAAACUGGCUACAUCUUUUAUGACAAACUCAACUGAUUACAUCUUUUCCAAGAACAUCUUCAGAGGUUUGCUGGAGUUUGGAUUUACUACUGAGUCAUAUUUGGAGCAUGCUGGAAUCUUACAACUGAGAUUACCGAGUCAGAAACUAGUUUGACUGUUCUCGUCGGCAUGGUUGAGACAUUAUCCCUGGCAGAAGGCUGGACUGGCAUGGACAUCAUUUGAUGAGUUCGUCUCCUCUUAACAAUCAAAGCCUGUUUUCCAGUGCGAAUAAACUGUUGCCUUAUAUAUUGUUUUCCCAUUUUUAUAGUUGUUUACUGCAAAAAAGAGUCUGGUACAAGUUACUUUGCUAAAACCUUGAUAAAGUUUUAUUCUACGAUUCUUCAAUCAAUGUUUCUGUUUUGUUUAUUCUGUUAUCUCUGUUGUGUCAUACCAUAAUUCUCUCAUUAAUAGCUCAUAUUCUUUUUCAUAGCUAUUCAAUUCUUUAGCAGUUUCUACUUUUAUGUUUGGGAGAAAAUUGAAAGCUUGAUUUCUUAUUUUGACAAGUUUUCUAAAGGUUUCAGCAUGCAAUAUUUUUUUUCAUAGCCUUACAGUUUGUAAUAGUUCAUCUGAUUGUAAAGCUCUUACAAUCUUUCCUGAUUUUAAGUCAUUUUAACAACGACUUUCUCUCUUUUUUAUUUUUAAGAAACAAUGUCCUCCUUUUCAUUUGUUGAGAACUCUACUCAGCUUUUAAAAAACUUCCUGUGUAUGUACCUUAAUUCUUUUGACAAUAAAACAUUACUCUGAAUAUUCAAA
rnacentral:lncRNA from 1 species